UUUCGGGUCGUAAAACUCUGUCCUCAAGGAAGAUAAUGACGGUACUUGAGGAGGAAGCCCCGGCUAACUACGUGCCAGCAGCCGCGGUAAUACGGAGGGGGCUAGCGCUAUCCGGAUUUUCUCGGCGUAAAGGGUGCGUAGGCGGUCUUUCAAGUAAGGAGUGAAAGGCUACGGCUCACCCGCAGUACGCUCUUGACACUGGGAGACUUGAGUGCAGGAGAG
rnacentral:rRNA from 1 species